AGACCCGAAACCCGGUGAUCUAGCCAUGGGCAGGUUGAAGGUUGGGUAACACUAACUGGAGGACCGAACCGACUAAUGUUGAAAAAUUAGCGGAUGACCUGUGGCUGGGGGUGAAAGGCCAAUCAAACCGGGAGAUAGCUGGUUCUCCCCGAAAGCUAUUUAGGUAGCGCCUCGUGAAUUCAUCUCCGGGGGUAGAGCACUGUUUCGGCUAGGGGGCCAUCCCGGCUUACCAACCCGAUGCAAACUGCGAAUACCGGAGAAUGUUAUCACGGGAGACACACGGCGGGUGCUAACGUCCGUCGUGAAGAGGGAAACAACCCAGACCGCCAGCUAAGGUCCCAAAGUCAUGGUUAAGUGGGAAACGAUGUGGGAAGGCCCAGACAGCCAGGAUGUUGGCUUAGAAGCAGCCAUCAUUUAAAGAAAGCGUAAUAGCUCACUGGUCGAGUCGGCCUGCGCGGAAGAUGUAACGGGGCUAAACCAUGCACCGAAGCUGCGGCAGCGACACUGUGUGUUGUUGGGUAGGGGAGCGUUCUGUAAGCCUGUGAAGGUGUGUCGUGAGGCAUGCUGGAGGUAUCAGAAGUGCGAAUGCUGACAUAAGUAACGAUAAAGCGGGUGAAAAGCCCGCUCGCCGGAAGACCAAGGGUUCCUGUCCAACGUUAAUCGGGGCAGGGUGAGUCGACCCCUAAGGCGAGGCCGAAAGGCGUAGUCGAUGGGAAACGGGUUAAUAUUCCCGUACUUGGUGUUACUGCGAAGGGGGGACGGAGAAGGCUAUGUUGGCCGGGCGACGGUUGUCCCGGUUUAAGCGUGUAGGUGUGUGUUCCAGGUAAAUCCGGUUCACUUUAACACUGAGGCGUGAUGACGAGGCACUACGGUGCUGAAGCAACAAAUGCCCUGCUUCCAGGAAAAGCCUCUAAGCAUCAGGUAACAUCAAAUCGUACCCCAAACCGACACAGGUGGUCAGGUAGAGAAUACCAAGGCGCUUGAGAGAACUCGGGUGAAGGAACUAGGCAAAAUGGUGCCGUAACUUCGGGAGAAGGCACGCUGACACGUAGGUGAAGUGAUUUACUCAUGGAGCUGAAGUCAGUCGAAGAUACCAGCUGGCUGCAACUGUUUAUUAAAAACACAGCACUGUGCAAACACGAAAGUGGACGUAUACGGUGUGACGCCUGCCCGGUGCCGGAAGGUUAAUUGAUGGGGUCAGCGCAAGCGAAGCUCCUGAUCGAAGCCCCGGUAAACGGCGGCCGUAACUAUAACGGUCCUAAGGUAGCGAAAUUCCUUGUCGGGUAAGUUCCGACCUGCACGAAUGGCGUAAUGAUGGCCAGGCUGUCUCCACCCGAGACUCAGUGAAAUUGAACUCGCUGUGAAGAUGCAGUGUACCCGCGGCAAGACGGAAAGACCCCGUGAACCUUUACUAUAGCUUGACACUGAACAUUGAGCCUUGAUGUGUAGGAUAGGUGGGAGGCUUUGAAGUGUGGACGCCAGUCUGC
rnacentral:rRNA from 1 species